rnacentral:rRNA from 1 species
AUACGGGGGGUGCAAGCGUUAUCCGGAUUGAUUAGGUUUAAAGGGUGCGCAGGCGGAACUGUAAGUCACCGGUGAAAUCCUACAGCUUAACUGUAGAACUGCCGGUGAUACUGCGAUUCUUGAGUAUAGUUGAGGUAGGCGGAAUGUGUAGUGUAGCGGUGAAAUGCAUAGAUAUUACACAGAACACCGAUUGCGAAGGCAGCUUACUAAACUAUUACUGACGCUCAUGCACGAAAGCGUGGGGAGCGAACAGGAUUAGAAACCCCAGUAGUCC